ensembl:miRNA
GGCAUUGAGUCCAGUGGGAUCCAUGAGACAACCUUCAACUCUAUCAUGAAGUGCGAUGUGGAUAUUCGCAAGGAUCUCUAUGCC